rnacentral:rRNA from 1 species
UAGGGAAUCUUCCGCAAUGGGCGAAAGCCUGACGGAGCAACGCCGCGUGAGUGAUGAAGGUCUUCGGAUCGUAAAACUCUGUUAUUAGGGAAGAACAAAUGUGUAAGUAACUAUGCACGUCUUGACGGUACCUAAUCAGAAAGCCACGGCUAACUACGUGCCAGCAGCCGCGGUAAUACGUAGGUGGCAAGCGUUAUCCGGAAUUAUUGGGCGUAAAGCGCGCGUAGGCGGUUUUUUAAGUCUGAUGUGAAAGCCCACGGCUCAACCGUGGAGGGUCAUUGGAAACUGGAAAACUUGAGUGCAGAAGAGGAAAGUGGAAUUCCAUGUGUAGCGGUGAAAUGCGCAGAGAUAUGGAGGAACACCAGUGGUGAAGGCGACUUUCUGGUCUGUAACUGACGCUGAUGUGCGAAAGCGUGGGGAUCAAACAGG